rnacentral:rRNA from 1 species
UACAGAGGUGGCAAGCGUUGUUCGGAAUUACUGGGCGUAAAGGGCGCGUAGGCGGUAGGGUAAGUCCGGUGGGAAAUCCCUCGGCUCAACUGAGGAACUGCACGGUAAACUGCCUGGCUUGAGUUCGGGAGAGGGAAGCGGAAUUCCGGGUGUAGCGGUGAAAUGCGUAGAUAUCCGGAGGAACACCGGUGGCGAAGGCGGCUUCCUGGACCGACACUGACACUGAGGCGCGAAAGCUAGGGGAGCAAACGGG